rnacentral:lncRNA from 1 species
AAAAAUUAUUUGUAGAUACAAGGUCUCCCCAUGUUGCCCAGGCUGGUCUUGAACUCCUGGUCUCAAGCAACCCUCAUGCCUGUAAUUCCAGCAGUUUGGGAGGCUUAGGCAGGAGAAUUGCUUGAGUUCAGGAGUUUGAGACCACCCUGGGCAACAUAGUGAGACCCCAUCUCUACAAAACAAAGUGAAGCAAAACAAAAAACUGGUAGACUGUUAGAAUGACAGUAGAGAUAUCCCAAAGUUGGAGUUAGAAAGCCUCAACACCAUGUGGGUGACUCCAACAGUUGGGGCAUAUUGUGCUGCCAAGGCCAAUAUCAUUCUACCCCAUUCUUCUCUCAGAGGACUUCCUGCAUAUUUCUUUAGCUGUGCUCUCAAUUCUACUUUAGUAUCCUGGAAGUUAAAUUAUAAGUAAACACAAACUCACAGAAGUUACUCAAAAACUGGUGUUAAGCAUACAUUGGUCUAGCUCCAGAUUUAUGAGAAAAUAGAAAAACAAGGCUAAACAUUUUACUGGGUCUUCAUGAUUAUAGUUUUGCUAAAACACUCAAUUUUUAUUCCUUAAAAUAUUUGCUUUUUACAAAUACAGUUGAAUGUGUGUGAACUGGUUCAUGUGUAAGGUUAUUCACUGAAGCCAAAUAAGAUUGAAAAUUUUGGGACUUAGAAACCAAUACCCCAAAAUAUGGC